UGUGAUGGGGAGCGAAAUUUAGUAGCGAAGUAGCUGAUUUCACACUGUCAAGAAAAGUCUCUAUCGAGGUUAAAGGUACCCGUACCGCAAACCGACACAGGUGGGGGAGGAGAGUAUCCUAAGGCCAGCGAGAGAACUGUUGUUAAGGAACUCGGCAAAAUGACCCCGUAACUUAGGGAUAAGGGGUGCCACCAUCAGGUGGCCGCAGAGAAUAGGCCCAAGCGACUGUUUACCAAAAACAUAGGUUUCUGCUAAGUCGCAAGACGAUGUAUAGGAGCUGACGCCUGCC
rnacentral:rRNA from 1 species